rnacentral:lncRNA from 1 species
UGUCCUCUUCCGAUCUGUAGAAUGCUUUCUGUAAUGACCGCUUAGUUUUACCUUCUGUUCUGAUGCUUUUAUUAACUUCUAUUUUUUGUGUGAUGCAGGUGUUGCUUUUCAAGCCAGCAGGAUGGACUCUUGGUUAAUCUCUGGAAGAAAUUUAGGUCAACGCAAUAAAUGUCAUCUGAACGCCUU